rnacentral:rRNA from 1 species
GACCUGAGAGGGUGACCGGCCACAUUGGGACUGAGACACGGCCCAAACUCCUACGGGAGGCAGCAGUGGGGAAUAUUGCACAAUGGGGGAAACCCUGAUGCAGCGACGCCGCGUGAAGGAUGAAGUAUUUCGGUAUGUAAACUUCUAUCAGCAGGGAAGAAAAUGACGGUACCUGACUAAGAAGCCCCGGCUAACUACGUGC